CUUGACUGUGGAUCCAGGCAAUUUUGUGCCUUCAAUGUAUAAAAAAAGUAUAUAUAUUAUCAUUCAAAAUCUUUUGGAUUUUUUCCCCCAAGGCAUGGGGCAUAGGUAAUGAGUAUUUUGCUGAAUGUCUUGACUCUCCUCCAUCCUCAACCAUCAGAUUUUGUAUAUUAGGUACUACUCAUUUGUCACCUAACAAAAUGUUCACAAUUGUUUGCUUCUGCCUUUAUAAGCUCCUUUAGGCAGGGACCAUGUUUGUUUUUCUUUUAUUCUCUCUCAGCCUUUUGCCUAUAGGAAGAAUUCAAAUAUUUGUUGGUAAGUAAUCCGAGAGCCCAUCUAUCCUGAUCAUCAAAAAUAAAGAAAAAUAAUCCCUGCCAGUCCCUAGAUAAUGCUCACAUGCAUUUAGAUCUGUGGAUAUGAUCCUACUGAUGCCCGACUGGGAAGGAAUUUGGGCCUCACAUGCAGGUGCAGCAGAAUGCCCAAGGGAACAUUCUCAUGUUGCACACUUAUGUUCUGCUCAUCUGGGAACUGAAAGGAGCAUGUAGGAGAGAAGGAAAUGUCACUCAACCCUGUUAAUGGCAUCCCUUCCUUCCCUGGUCCUCCUACAUUUGAGUGCUUGCUGUGCACCAGACAAUUCUAGGGGCUGGCAGUCAGUCAUGAACAGACAGAAGCCUUCACCUGAUAUACCUUUAAGGUCUACUGGGAGAAAUGACAAGUAAAAUAUAUGGAAUCUUAAUAAGAAGUGCUGAAGAAAAAAAUAAAUUUUAUUUGAUGUUUCUCUGAUAGCACACACUGAUGUUCCUAGCUACUCAGGAGGCUGAGCCAAGAGGAUUACAAGUUUGAGGCCAGUCUCCACAACUUAGCAAGACCUUGUCUCAAAAAUAAAAAAAGGGGUGGGGAUUUCACUCAAGAGUGCCCCUAGGUUCAAUCCCUAGUACUGCCCAAGGGGAAAAAAGUGAUACAAAUGAAAAGAGUAAGACAAUUUAAAUUAAUACAGUUAAUUUGAAAACAACACAAAACAAUGAAAGGCAUAUAACAUCAAAAUAGCUCCCACUUUACCCCUUCAUUCCUCCCUAAUAUGUACCUUUCUAAUUGUUCAUACAAAUAUGUAUACAUAAUUAUUACAUUAGGGGUUUUAUCUGUCUUAUUCUACGUAUUACUCUACAGCUUGCUUUUUUAAAAAUUUAAUGUUCAUCAUGAGCAUUAUACAUACAUAUAUAUGUAUGUAUAAGUCUGCAUAUAUGUCACUUCCAUUUUUUAGCACAUACACAAUCUAGAUAAUCUAGAUAAUUUUUAGUGGGCCAUGUGCUAUAAAUAAAUAGAAUUAUAUAUUCUCUGAAUCUCACUUCUCCUUCAACAAUCUAUAAUGGUAAUCCUUCUAAGUCUUAUAGUUCUUAUUUUGUUCUUUUUAAUAGUUGUAUAUUACUCUAUUGUGAUGACAUACCAUGAUUUAUCAUACCUCUUCCAGAUUAAUGGGUAUUUCCUUUGUUACUAGGUUUUUACUAUUAUAAUAAGCAUUUCUGUGUAUAUAUAUAUUUGUGAUUGUGAUGGUUUUACUUCUGAGGAGUACAUUCCCUGGAGUAGAAUGCUGGAUUCAAGGAUAUGUAUAUUUAAAUUUUAAUUCAUGUUGACAGAUUGUUUCCUAAAAAGGCUGGAAAGAUUUAUAUUUCUAUCAAUAAAUGCGUAAAAAACACUUUUCCCUUUAUACCUACUGGCAAUAGAUACCAUAACACUUAAAAGAAGAAGAAAAAGAAAAACCCUAAGCCUGGUGAGUGUAGUGAUUUCUCAGUGUUAUUUUAAUUUCCACUUUCUUGGCUACUAUAAAUCUAGAUAUCUUUCCAUGUUACUUGAUCAUUUGGAUUGUCUCAUGAGUGAGUAGUGUUCUGUGACCACAUAACAAAUUACCACAAAUUUGGGCCUUAAAACAUAACCAUUUGUUAUCUCAAAAUGCUGUAGGUUAGAACUUCAGGUGGAUUCCAUUGAGCUCUCUGCUCAGGUCCCAGCAGGGCUGAAACGAAGGUAUUUGCCAGAGUGGACUCUUACCUGAAAGCUUUGGUGAAGAAUUCACUUCCAAGCUCCUUAAGGUUGUAGGAUGGAGGUUAUCUUUAUGUUGGCUGUCAGUCAGCUCCUGGGAUUAUGCUCUGGUCCUUAAGUGUAGUUCCUUCAAUUAGUUAGCAAGGGUUUAUCAAAUCUUUGCAUACUUUGACUGUUUUCUUUUCUGCUACCAGCCAGAGAAAACGCUUUGCUUUUAAAAAGGCUCUUGUGACUUGGUUAGGCACACCCAGAUAUGUGAAGAUUGACUCAUUAGUAACCUUAGUUAUGUCUGCGGAGUCCCCUUGCCCUGUAAUGUGGCAUCGUCAUGGAAGGAACACCAGGGUUAAAGUUCAUGGGAGCCAUCUGAGACUUUUGCCUACCACAAUAUUCAUAUUUAUACCUGUACGUUUAUUUCUCAUUUUUAUUCUUUUUUUGUUCCCCUUGUGGGUUUUUUUUUUUUAAUUUAACUGGUUUAUAAGAGCUUUUUCAUGUUAUGUAUGUUAAAGCUUUUUUUCUCUUGGUCGCAAAUAUUCUCCAACUCUUUAUUAACCACCUUAACGGGUACCUUUUCCGUAUAGCAUUUACCCACUUGCAGUUCUCUCUUAAAUGAAUUGCAUAUUUGCAUGUUUAAAUUUACAUUCUAAAUUUUUAUUAAUUUUAAUUUUUGUCAUUUUGUUAGCAUUUUUCCCAUGUUUCACUUUUUUUAAUUUAUAAGUACUCUUUUUGUAUAUGUAAACCUCUUUUAUUAUUUGCUAUUUUUUCUCCAACUCUAUAUAAUAUUUCUGUUGACUGUAUUUAUGACACCUUCUGCCAUUCAAAACUUUAUAUUAGUAUAUAAGCAUAUUAAUAUUGUUUUAUAUUGUAUAAGUAUUUACAAUAACUUGUAAACUCUUAAAGUACUCUGUAAUAAGUUCUCCGCUCAUGAGUAUCAUGUGUAGUCAACUAGAAUGGAUCUGUAGUUUUUGGUUUGGGGAGAAUCUUUUUGUUAUUGAUUUUCUACAAUUAAGUCUUUACUGCAUUUGAUUUUUCAUGUUUGUAAAAUGUAAGCAAUAGAUCUAAUUUUUAUUUUUCCCAAGUAGGUUGCCAGUCCAGCACCCUUUCUUAAAUGAAACUCUUCCCAAUGAAAUGCUGACUUUUUCAUAUGUGAAAGUUUCAUAUACAAUGAGAUUUAUUUCUCAAUAUGCUUCACUUACACUUUUUAUAUGGCAAUUUCAUAUGGAUUCAGUUACAGUGGUUUUAUAAUAUGGUUUCAUAAUAUGGUAAAGCAGAACUUUUUUCAUCUCACUCUCUGCUGUGUUUUUUUUUUUUUUGAAUACUGGGGUUGAACCAAGGGACACUCUACUACUGAGCUUCUCCCCCGCCCCCAAUCCUUUUUAUUUUUUAGUUUGAGUCUUGCUGAGAGUCACUAAAUUGCUGAGGCUGGCCUUGAAUUUACAAUCCUCUUGCCUCAGCCUCCCAAGUUGCUGGGAUUACAGGUCUGAGCCACCACACCCAGUCCCUGCUAUUCUUUUUACUGCCUUUCUUGUCUGUUCUCAAGCAUUUGAAAUUUGUGACAUAUUAAUCCCAAUUUUACCCAAUCAGGGGCUGAAAGUUAAUUUUGGGAAGUUUGACAUGAUAUUGUCAUCCCAUCUAAGAACAUCUUAUUUUGUUCAGAUCUUAUUAAUAACAUAUCUUAUCAAUAUCUCAAAUUAAGAUUUGAAUUUUCUUCAUUAAGUUCUGUCUUAUUAAAUUUAUGACUGUUGACCUUUUGGUCAUUAUUAUGAGUGAUUUUUUUUUCUCAUUUCUAAGAUCUUAGAACAAAGAGAAAACCUAUUGUUUUGUAUACUUAUAUUCAAUAAAUUUAUUAUAUAUUGUUUACUAAAUCUUCUCAUUAAUUCUAGCAGGUUUUUUUUUUUACUAGAGUCUCCUGGGAGUUUUAGAUAUAUAAUUCUGACAUUGACAAAAAUAAUUUUAUCUUGUCUUUUCUAAUGUUUGACAAAUUCUCUCCUUUUCUGAAAUCUUAAUUGUCUAGAAACUCCAACCAAAUAUUGAGUGAUAAUGGUGACAGACAUUAUUGUCUUUUACUGACUUUAGUUGAAAUGCUUUGAGUAUUUUAUUAUUUAGGAUAUUUGUGUUGCUCCUUAUUAAGUAAUCUUUGUCUAAUUUAAAUCAUUUUUUUCCCAUUUUGCCAAGAUAUUUUAUUAGGAAUGGCCACUGAAUUUCAUCCAAUUACUUAUCAGCAUCUUUAGAGCUGAUCAAAAUUGCUGACUUGCUAAAUUAUAUGUAUAAAUUCUGCCAUUAUAAUAUCCUUGCCUCCUUGGAAUAAAGCCUUUUUGUCAUAAUGUGUUAGACUUUUCUUUAAAAUCUAUGUUUCAGUUACUGAUCUUUUUUAUUUAGAACUUUAGAUGCAUAUGCAUAAGUGAUAUUAAUCUAGUUUUCUUCAGUGAACUGUUUUAUUAGAUACAAAAAUUACACAGUUUGGCAAGGAUGUGAGAGUAACCAGAGGACUCUCACUGCAGAUCAGGGUGUAGAUUGAUGCAAACAUGUUUGAAAACAAUUUGGCAGAUUUUACUAAAGACAAAAAUAUUCAUACCAUGAAAUCUAGUAAUUCUUCCCCUGGGUGUAUACCCAAUAAAAUGCAAACAUAUGUUCACUAAAAUUUAUGUGCCAGAAUGUUUGUAGCAAUACUGUUUGUAAUAGCCUCAAUUCAAAAACUACCCAAAAGUCCGUUAACUGUAGAAUGAAUACAUUUUUUUUUUUAAAAGAGAGAGUGGGGCGGGGAGAGAGAGAGUGUAUUGUGUAUUUCCAGACAGGCCAUCAUUAUCUUGAUAAAGAACCAUUUGUAUCUGUAGUUCCUAAGAGGGCAUUGUAGCAUUUCAGGUGGGACAGUUCUUUGUCAUGUAGGGUUGAUUCGUGCAUUUUGGUUUGCCUUUGUGUCUCUUGGGUUUAUCACAGUUUGUUGCUCACCCUCUUUUUCCUCUGCUU
rnacentral:lncRNA from 1 species